AUCUUUACGCAGUGGCAAUAUCAUAGUCUAUUAGGUUUAUCCGAGAUGCGAUUAUUGCUAGUUGAAAACUUUACCCAAUACCCCGCCUUGCCGAUCUGAAAUAUAAUCGAUAAUGGCAGUCUUCGAUGGUCUCUCAGGAGA
ensembl:snRNA U4 U4 spliceosomal RNA